rnacentral:rRNA from 1 species
AUGAAUGCUAUGAGUUAGAACUGUCGAGGGCUUGGGAACCCUGCAACAGUUCGUGAGCUUUGCAAGCUUGUGAAGCAAUAAGGCCCCACCCUGUUAUUCGUCAUGGAAACGAAGAUCAGGGGGCAACGACUAGAAGAUCUGAAAACUACGUUAGGAUUUCAUGGUUGUUUUUCCGUCAAUAGCGAUGGGCUUAGUGGAGGCAUCGGCCUCUUUUGGUCAAAGGAUGUUGAUGUUAGUUUGGAAAAUUUUAGUAAAUCUCACAUUGAUGUGAAGGUCACCCAGAAUAAUAAAAGUUGGCGUUUCACUGGCUUCUACGGUGAGCCCCGUGUGGAGAAUCGUCACCACAGCUGGCGGUUCCUCCGUACUCUUUUUGCUAUCUAG